rnacentral:rRNA from 1 species
CCUACGGGCGGCAGCAGUCGAGAAUCAUUCACAAUGGGGGAAACCCUGAUGGUGCGACGCCGCGUGGGGGAAUGAAGGUCUUCGGAUUGUAAACCCCUGUCAUGUGGGAGCAAAUUAAAAAGAUAGUACCACAAGAGGAAGAGACGGCUAACUCUGUGCCAGCAGCCGCGGUAAUACAGAGGUCUCAAGCGUUGUUCGGAAUCACUGGGCGUAAAGGGUGCGUAGGCUGUUUCGUAAGUCGUGUGUGAAAGGCGCGGGCUCAACCCGCGGACGGCACAUGAUACUGCGAGACUAGAGUAAUGGAGGGGGAACCGGAAUUCUUGGUGUAGCAGUGAAAUGCGUAGAUAUCGAGAGGAACACUCGUGGCGAAGGCGGGUUCCUGGACAUUAACUGACGCUGAGGCACGAAGGCCAGGGGAGCGAAAGGGAUUAGAUACCCGAGUAGUC